rfam:Theileria equi strain WA gcontig_1105316255047 apicoplast, whole genome shotgun sequence.
AGGUUUAUAGCUUAAAUGUUUAAAGCGGCGUAAAUACGAGUUAUGUCUAUAAAGGUUAAAAUCCUUUUAAACUUG